UUGGAAAAACGCAGAAGUCUUGGAAUUUCCCCUUUGUUUUUCUUCUGCCUCUCUAAGCCCAUCCCCUCCAGAAUCUGCAGAGCUCUUGGCAGGUAGAAGGAUAUCCCUGUAAAUCCUAGAAAAUGGAUCCAUUAAUUCUUUAGGCUACUUUGAACAACUCUUCAGUUCCAACACAGGGCUUGAGUGUCCACACAUAGGUGGUAGGUGGCCCGUGGGUACAGGGUCAGGGGAAGACUUGGAUUUUGGUUCUAGCCACGCGCUUCUGUGAACAACAGAUUCUCUGCCUUCUGCGUUCAUCCUGCCAAACCCCUGUAUCGUCUGCACUGCCUAUUUAUCCAACAAGGCCCUGUAGCCACAUCUGGUUUAUCUACCCAGUGCCUGUCAAAGUCCUUGUGGUUUUCUCUUGAGGUCUUUCCCUUCACACCCACAACCAUUUCCUGACAGUAAGAGCUACCAUGUUCCCAAGUGGUCCUACCUCCUGACUAGAGAUGAUUGGUCCAAAGUCGACACCUAGCUCGAGACAAGCCAAUUAGAAUGUUGUCCUGGAACUGUCCUAUCCCAAGACAUUGCAGACCAAUGUUGACAAAGAAGCCCCUGAUUUCCAGCUCACAGUGGAAGAACUAAGCCUUCAGCAGCCCUCUUCCCCUCUGCGCACCAGGAGAGCCAAGGCCAUGUUGGAGCCAACCCCAAGGCCACCCUCUGCAAGGCUCUCCUCGACACAAGGCUCUGUGGGAUCCCACCAUGUGUUCCACCACACCCAGCUCAUGCCAAUGCAAUUGGCAAGAAACACCCGUGCUUAGAGCUGCUACCAUGUGAAGGACUAAGGAGGCAGGAACAUCAAGGGACAGCACCAAGCAGGCGUCCAUGACUGUCUUCUGAACAGAUCAGCAAAGGAAUGAACAGAGGGAGCGCUUCCCGCUACCCGGGAUGCACCAGGUCCAUGAGGAAAGCAGACAGAGGUAUGUCCCACAGCUCAGCUGCCACCCCUCCCCCAUGCCCCGUUAGCCCCUCCUGACCACCUCAUCCAUGGCCAGCACUAGGUCAGGAAUGUCCCUGAGAAACCAUGAAGAAAAGAGUGUGUACCGUGG